rnacentral:rRNA from 1 species
AUGGCGGCCAUGGGCGUACGCGUACUCAUCAGCAUCCUGCUCCUCCUCCUACUCGCACCACCGUCGCUGGUGGCCGCCGACGACUACUGCGACAACGUCAAGGCCGUCGGAGCCAUCCUCUCCAAGAACGCCUCCGCUUCCCCGGUACACUUCGCCAGCGCCACCUUCGGGCAAGUCCACGACGUCGUCUCCGCGCUCGCGCUCUGCGGCGGCGACAUCCUCGACGGCUCCGCCUGUGCAGGCUGCAUCACCAGCUGGUUCGACAAGCAGGCGGUCAACACGACGCAGUGCGCCAGGGUCGGCUCCAACUACCGGGACUGCAUCAUCGCCUACGGCGGCGCCGCCGCCAACAUCCUCGGGGCGCCCUCCAACGCCACGGGAGGGUCCGGCGACAACACGCCGCCCUUCGAGGACUGGAGCGUCAGGAACGUCUCGGUCUCGGGCGGCGCCGGCGGCGUCCCCCUCGUCGUCGGCCUCACCCGCGAGCUGCUGGUGGCGACUUCGGAGAAGGCGGCAGUCACGGCUCCGAGCCGGUAUGCCACCGGCGUCAUGGACUUUCAGAGCGUGACGACCUACCCGAGGGUGUACUCACAGGCUCGGUGCACGCCGGACCUGCCCGCCGACGAGUGCUCGGCGUGCCUGCGCCGUCUCCUCGGCAUGGUCAACUCCACCAUGUCCCUGCGCAUGGGUGGGCAGAUGGGUGUCACGCGCUGUUAUUUCAGGUACGACGCGUUUCAGUUCUACUCUGGUCAGCCACUGCUAAGUCUGCCGGCGCCGGCGUCGGCGGCAGCUCCGACUCCGAACAAAAGCAGGAGGAGCAUGUUAUGGGUAAUUCCCGUGGUUGUGGUUCCUCUAAUUACAGCUGCAUUUCUCCUCUUCAUCUGUUACUAUCGUCGGAGAAAAGGAUCAAGAUAUGCAAGGAAGAAGAGGCAAGGGGAAAACUCGGAGUUCUCUUUGUUUGGCCUUGCAGAGCUACUGGAGGCGACAGGUAAUUUCUCAGAGGAAAACAUACUUGGACAAGGUGGUUUUGGCACUGUCUACAAGGGCCAACUUCCGGAAGGAUUGGAGAUAGCGGUCAAGAGACUUGCUUCGCAUUCAGGACAGGGUUUCAUAGAGUUUCAAAAUGAACUCCAGCUCAUAGCCAAACUCCAACACAUGAAUUUGGUUAGGCUCUUGGGAUGUUGCUCCCAAGAGGACGAGAAAAUAUUGGUCUAUGAAUACUUGCCCAACAAAAGCCUGGAUUACUUCAUCUGUGAUAAUAAUAAAAGAGCUUUACUGGAUUGGUCAAAACUCGUAGCAAUAAUUGAGGGAAUAGCACAUGGACUUCUUUACCUGCAUAAGCAUUCCCGGUUGCUUGUUAUACAUCGAGACCUUAAACCGAGCAAUAUUCUUUUGGACAGCGAAAUGAAUCCAAAAAUUUCAGAUUUCGGGCUAGCAAAAAUAUUCAGCUCAAAUGACACAGAAGCAAACAUUACAAGAAGAGUGAUUGGCACAUAUGGCUACAUGGCCCCUGAGUAUGCUUCGAAGGGCGUCUUCUCUAUUAAAUCCGAUGUCUUCAGCUUUGGUGUAAUCAUUUUGGAGAUCCUUAGCGGAAAACAGAAUUCUGGUCAGCAACAAUGUGGAGAAUUCAUCAAUCUGCUUGGACAUGCAUGGCAAUUAUGGGAAGAUGGAAAAUGGUUUGAUCUCGUUGAUUCAUCAUUUGUUCCCCAUAGUCACUUGGCAAAGAUGAUGCGAUGCAUUAACAUAGCAUUGUUGUGUGUACAAGAGAAUGCAACCGAUCGACCAACCAUGGGAGAUGUUGUUUCAAUGCUAAGCAGUGAGACUAUGAUCUUGGAUGAGCCUAAGCAGCCAGCAUAUAUCAAUGUAAGAGUUGGAAAUGAAGAUGUGUCAACUGCUCCCGACUCAGAUAGUAUUAAGGAUAUGGCAAUAUCUGUCACAACUCCAAGAUAG